rnacentral:rRNA from 1 species
GGGGAUAACAUUUGGAAACAAGUGCUAAUACCGUAUAACACUAACAACCGCAUGGUUGUUAGUUCCCAGAUGGUUCUGCUAUCACUAAGAGAUGGACCCGCGGUGCAUUAGCUAGUUGGUAAGGUAAUGGCUUACCAAGGCGAUGAUGCGUAGCCGAGUUGAGAGACUGAUCGGCCACAAUGGGACUGAGACACGGCCCAUACUCCUACGGGAGGCAGCAGUAGGGAAUCUUCCACAAUGGGCGCAAGCCUGAUGGAGCAACGCCGCGUGUGUGAUGAAGGGUUUCGGCUCGUAAAACACUGUUAUAAGAGAAGAACGACAUUGAGAGUAACUGUUCAGUGUGUGACGGUAUCUUAUCAGAAAGGAACGGCUAAAUACGUGCCAGCAGCCGCGGUAAUACGUAUGUUCCAAGCGUUAUCCGGAUUUAUUGGGCGUAAAGCGAGCGCAGACGGUUAUUUAAGUCUGAAGUGAAAGCCCUCAGCUCAACUGAGGAAGGGCUUUGGAAACUGGAUAACUUGAGUGCAGUAGAGGAAAGUGGAACUCCAUGUGUAGCGGUGAAAUGCGUAGAUAUAUGGAAGAACACCGGUGGCGAAAGCGGCUUUCUGGACUG